rnacentral:misc_RNA from 1 species
CAGAAUAGGAACUGGAAUGGGGCCUUGGAGCUUUCUCAGGACCUGACCAUCUCCUCCAUUUGUUCAUCUACAUUAUUCCAUGAGUUUUUUAAUGGCAAAUAACAAGUUCGUUGGGGGUGGAUAGCAUUUUGGCAUUUUGAUCCUCCAAACUGUACAUAUUACACUUUAUAGAUGUAUACACAAUUGAUACAAACAGCCACUGUAAUCAAUUCAUCUAAAUUUCACGCCAACACUCUCUAACGUGCUAGCAAAAUCCUGUUUCGUUCCUGCUUGUAGAUUUCAAUUUUUGUAGAGACUGAUUCUAGCAGUAUGAAGAGGAAUUAGAGAAUCAAGGCCAGAAAAUGGCUCUUGGAAACAAGAUUGGCAAAUGUGUUCCUUUGAUAAUCAACG